rnacentral:sRNA from 1 species
GAGGAAUGCAACAGAGCAUGAACUCCCGGAGCACUUUUUAGGCCCCGCCCAC